UUGGCCGCGAGCGCCGCCGCGUAGAGCGUGCCGGCCUGCUGCGCCGGCGAGCUGCGUGCGAAUUCGCCGCCGCCGGCC
rnacentral:tRNA from 3 species